rnacentral:rRNA from 1 species
CCUACGGGAGGCAGCAGUGAGGAAUAUUGGUCAAUGGACGAGAGUCUGAACCAGCCAAGUAGCGUGAAGGAUGACUGCCCUAUGGGUUGUAAACUUCUUUUAUAUGGGAAUAAAACGUUCCACGUGUGGGAUUUUGUAUGUACCAUAUGAAUAAGGAUCGGCUAACUCCGUGCCAGCAGCCGCGGUAAUACGGAGGAUCCGAGCGUUAUCCGGAUUUAUUGGGUUUAAAGGGAGCGUAGGUGGAUUGUUAAGUCAGUUGUGAAAGUUUGCGGCUCAACCGUAAAAUUGCAGUUGAAACUGGCAGUCUUGAGUACAGGAGAGGUGUGCGGAAUUCGUGGUGUAGCGGUGAAAUGCUUAGAUAUCACGAAGAACUCCGAUUGCGAAGGCAGUUCACUGGACUGCAACUGACACUGAGGCUCGAAAGUGUGGGUAUCAAACAGGAUUAGAUACCCUUGUAGUC